rnacentral:lncRNA from 1 species
AGAGGAAAAGAAGACUAACAUUCAGAAAGCCGUGCUGAGGGGACAUCCCAGAGUAUCUCAACCAUGGUGGAGUGCAUUUUGAGGAAAUGAUAGACGAUCUGGAUGAGGAAGGCAAGCAGGUUAUAGGCACUAUGUGGGUGCUGCUAGGAUUCCAAAUGAGCUACACACACAUACACACACACACACACACACACACACACACACCCCUUCAUACCUGUGAUUUGUGCACAUACAGCCUGUGUAAGUUCCUCAGAAGUCAAAGUUGAAAGCAUCCAUCUGUACUGUCCCGAGGCCACAAUCGUACCCUUGUCAUUGAUAGUCCUUGUCACAGUGUCUUAUGAUGUCUUCCUGGGUCAAAAUUUCAUUUUUCUCAGAGUAUAAUCUGAUGAACAGUUUCUAUGUUUUCCUAUAUUUUCUUCUGGGUUGACCAAAUAAUACUCACAACAUUUUUCUUCCUAUGAAUCAUAUUCAUCUGUGUGGCUGUGACAGUCAAGGGGCAGCGCCCAUGCUAUAGCCAGUGCCCAAGCUGUUGAGUAGAGACUCCAGGAGGCUGAGUCUCUGGGGUUGGCAAUAGACUAUAGGCACAUGAACUUUUCAAAUCAGUGAAGCACAGGUAGAAGUUAUACCUGCCACUCCCGAGCAGGUAUGAUUAGAGUAGUCAGGGGCCUCUGGCUUGCCUCUUUUUCUUCUGCUAGAAUACUGGCAGACUCCACAACUAUAUUGCCAGCUAUCUGAGGUCUGUAGGGAAAGCAGUCUAGAGACUGUCAGCAGCUGGACAAAGCAUGCUGGUUAGUUCAAAGUUCUUGUGUUUUGUGAGCAUUAUAUUUUCAUUGUUUGGUGCAUCUUAGUGUGUCUAGAUGGGCUAUUGCAGGCAAGCUUGGGGAGAGUGAGAGAUAGGCUCCAUCCUGGGUAUCUCUCAUGCCUAUCCCUUGCUCAAAUGAUGGCUGCCAGUGCUAGCCCACGUCACUAGGUGUGAUGUGGAAUGGAUGAGAUUGUGGCUACUGAUAGGACAUCAGUAUGAAACCCUGUCCUAUGUGGCUUUUCCUGGAGAUAUGUGAAGAGUCAUUUACUUAUUCUAGAAAGCAGCCCGCAUACUAAAGAAACUACCCCACCUGCGUAAAUGCCCUAAGCUGAUGUGUUUACUGGUGUUAACUUGAAGAAAUAUAGGUGACUCAAAAGCAGCUCUAUCACAAAAACUCCUACCUAAGCACAGGUGAUGACUUACACAUGCAACUUUGCUGAAGUGUAACCCAUUGUCAGCCUUCCACUUCCUGGAUCUUCAACCACUUCCCAAGUCUAUGCACAGCUGGGGGCAGGAAGAGCACAGAAGGAGUCUUACGUGAGGGUCUGGUGACACUCCAUUCUGCUGAGAGUGGAUAGUAACAGUUCCAGCAUCACUAUCACAGACCCAAUGAUUACUAACCCCUGCAUUGUUCUCUUACUUUGAAUUUUAAAAAUUAUAUUCCAUUUUCUCAUUUGUGUGUGUGUGUGUGUGUGUGUGUGUGUGUGUGUGUGUAGGCAUCUACAUUAUAUUGGUUGCUUUUCCUGUUGCUGUGAUAAAAUACCAUGACCAACUUAUGGCAAAGAGUUUAUGUGGGCUUACAGUUCCAAAAGGUUAAGAGUCCGUUGUGGCAGGGAGGUAUGGCCACAGGACAUCUCCAUCAGACAGCUGAGAGAUCAUAUCUCAACCUCAAGGCAUGAAGUGGUAGAGAGAACUGUAAAUUGGCAAGGCCAUGUACUCUCAAACCCCAUGCCCAGUAAGACCUCCCAAAACAGCGCCACCAGCUAGGCACCAAGUACUUAAAACCUGACUCCUACAGGAGACAUUUCUCAUUCAAACUACCACGUGUGGACCACAGCACUUGUGUGGAGGUCAAGAACAGUGUGUGAGACAUGAUUCUUCUCCUUCUACCAUACACACAAAUCAGGAAUGGAACUCAGAUCAUCAGGCAUGGUGGCAGCUGUCUUUAAAUUUUCUAUGGAGCUGAGGAUGCCCUUGAAUUCCUCAUCCUCCAAUCUCUACCCACCAAGUGCUAGGAUUAUAGGCAUGGACAACCAUGCCUAGCUUUAUUGUUGAAUAGUAUGAUUUCUGAUUCUUUCAUGGAAUUAUUUUUCAAUAGUGUUAUUUUUAACACUUGCAGACAUUCUAAAACGUAGAGCGAAGAAGGUGCUUAGUCAUCAUGCAAGUGUUGAAUAUGGAAGCUGGUUCCAGAGUUUAGCUGUUAUCAAUCGUGCUGCAUGCAGUUAGUAUCUGUGUACUUGCAGCUUCACGUAAUUGCAUGAAUAUUUCUACUGGCAAGUUCCCUGGGAAGUUCUUGCUGAUAAGAUGUGUACAGCAUGAAUUAUGACACUGGCUGCUUAUGGCUCUCUAUGGAUGCUCUAGCAAGAGCAUGCACUAACUUACAGGGAAUGUGUAAAGUAGCUUACUGCUCCCCACCCUUGCUCUCUCUUGCCCAACAGGACACUGGAUUGGUUCAAAAGAGUGCCUCUUCAUUGUGGUAGUUGCAGUACACUCCCUCCUUUGGAGUCAAGAGUAAGCCCAUGGACUGAAGGUGCAGUUUGGAAGUAGAUCUCUACUUUAAUUAUAUACAAUAUCCUGUACUCUGUUCCCAGGACCAUAUAAAAACAUAUCCGCACUGAAACAAAGACAUGUCCCUGUAGUCCCAACUACUAAGAAGGCUGAGGCAGAAGGAUUGUGAGUUCAAAGACAACUUGGGAUAGAGAGUGAGUUCAAGGACAACGUGGGCAACUUAGCAUGGUCUCGUCUUCAAACAAAAAUAAAAUUAAGUGUGAGGGUUGAGGCCUAGUGGUGUAGAAACCUGGGUGCCAACCCUGCUACCACAAAGAAUAGACCCACAUUGUUCUUGUUAGUGAAUGUUAUCUCUUUUCUUUCCCUUUCUUCUUCAUUUUCUUUUCACAUUUAUUUUUAUACCUUUUCCAAAGUUUCUCACAACCUAUUCUUUUCUGUAUCUCCUAGUAUUCCAGUUUUGUACAUCACAUAACUGUACCUAUAUUUCUUGUACAUUGAGUACCAUUUAAUGACUCUUUCCACCAAAUCUAUUUUUUUAUGCUUUAAAAGUACUUAGAAUUAUGUAUUUGACAUGUGUAAGUGUUUUGCCCACGUGUGUGUCUGUGCUCCAUGUGCGUACAGUACGCACAAAGUCCAGAAGGGGGCGUCAGGUCAUCUGGAACUGGAAUUACAAAUGCUUGUGUGCUGCCACGUCAAUGCUUAGAACCGAACCUUUGUCAGUUCCAAGAGCAGCCAGUGCCUGUUGAAGUAGCUCAGUCCCUGUUUCUUUUUCUUUAGAAUCUGAAGUUGCUGUGUCAGCAAAGUUGGGUAUUUAUUUAUUUAUUUAUUUAUCUUGCUCUUUCCUCUUUCUCAAUCUUUAUAUGGAUAUAUUAGGAUUCCCUUUUUCUUUAACUGUUUGAAAUCUUUAGAAUUCAAAUAUACUACCUUUUUUUAUCCCUUUUUUAAAAUCACAGCUUUCAUUUGCCUUUCAAAAUGCUACACAUGGCUAAUUCUAAUUUUUCUUCCCCAAAAUAUGUUAAUUAUUCAUAUAUAUGUAUAUGAAUAUUCUUCUGCAAGAAGAGCAAAUGCUCUUAACUGAUAAGCCAUCUCUGUAGCCCUUAGAAAAAAAUCUUUAUUCUUCUUUAAUAGUAAUACAUAAAACACAUGAAAGUUUUUGAAUCCCAUUAUCAGAAAGUCAUUGUCGUUAGCUGUGGUUGCUUGACAGCACUUUUGUUCAUCGCUGCUUCUCUUAUCUCGUGUUUGUCUUUAUCAAAUUCACACUUUCAUGUUUCUGGAGAGCAUGCUUGAAGAUCAUUUACAAAAGAACAUUUUUUUGGUCUUUAAAAGUGGAAGGUGUAUUUCUGUUGUCUCCAGUUCUGAACAACCAUCUAGAUAAGUGCAGAAUUCACAGCACACAGUUAUUAUCUUUUGGCCCAUGUUGCUCCCUCAUUUCUAGUACCCUUUUCUUUUUGUUAGAGCUUUUAUUGCUAUGCCAAAAAUACCAUGCCCCCAAAGCAAGUUGGGUGUGAAAGGGUGUGUUGGGCUUACACUUACGUCCACGGCACUGUGCAUCGUUGAAGGACAGGAACCAAAUCAAGGCAUGGUUCUGGGGGCAGCCAGGAGCUGAUGCAGGAGCCAUGAACCCAGAACCACUCACCCAGGAAUGCACCUCCCACAAUGGGCUGAUCCCUCCCCAAUUGAUCAGUAAUUGAGAAAAAACCUUACAGCUGUACCUCAUGUGGCAUUUCCUCAAUUGUGUGUCCUUCCUCUCUGAUGACUCUAGCUUGUGUCAAGUUGACACACAAAACCAGCCAGUAUACCCCACUACAAAGUGGGAUUAACAUUCCAGCCCCAUCUUAUCUGCAUUGAUGAUAUUUGCCUAGUUCUGUCUUACUUUAUACUCAUAUUUUUAGUACGUUCUUUUUAUCCAUGUACUUUAGAUAGGAAUCUAUGACAAUUGGGUUGGUAUGUGUCAUGUAUGUACUUUAUGGUCUUUAACAUAAUGAACUAAGUAUUUUUUUAAUGACAAUAAUGUGCCUCAAGUGAUCAUAGCACACGGCUGAACUGUCCAAGGUCAGCCAAUGGAUUGACCAUUUCUAAAUAUGUGUUCAAAAACAAGGUUGAUGUCUAUCAUACACUACUACAAAGACAAGCAUACACACCCUACCAUACAUACCCUACAUACACACCCUACCACCACCGCCACCAAACAACCAACCAAACAAACAAAUAAAACCACUACAAACAAAUACGACCCAACCUAGCAAUAAGAACAAAAUACUUCCACACUCAUUUCAUGUCCCCAGUGCCCAGGUGCCCAGGAAAGCAAUGCCUACUUGACCAACAAGGGGAUAAGAGGCAAUUUCUGGUCUUUUGACAUCAGUCAUUUGUUCCUUGUGAGUACACUCAUGCUAGCAAGGGAAUUUGAGUGGAGAACAUUUGGUUACCACAGGCUGAUGUAUGAAUGAUAGUUCAGAGUUCCAUUCUUCAUACAAUGAUUUUAUCAUCUUUAAGAUCCCAACAUAGUGGAGUGGGUAACAGAC